UACGUAGGCAGCAAGCGUUGUUCGGAUUUACUGGGCGUAAAGGGCGCGUAGGCGGUUCUCUAAGUCUGGUGUGAAAUCUCCCGGCUCAACUGGGAGGGUGCGCCGGAAACUGGAGGGCUAGAGUGCGGGAUGGGAGAGUGGAAUUCCUGGUGUAGCGGUGAAAUGCGUAGAUAUCAGGAGGAACACCUGUGGUGUAGACGGCUCUCUGGACCGCAACUGACGCUGAAACACGAAAGCGUGGGUAGCAAACAGG
rnacentral:rRNA from 1 species